UGCGUNGUCUGUGAAAUUCCGGGGCUUAACUUCGGGGUGNCAGGCGAUACGGGCAUAACUAGAGUGCUGUAGGGGAGACUGGAAUUCCUGGUGUAGCGGUGGAAUGCGCAGAUAUCAGGAGGAACACCGAUGGCGAAGGCAGGUCUCUGGGCAGUAACUGACGCUGAGGAGCGAAAGCAUGGGGAGCGAACAGGAUUAGAUACCCUGGUAGUCCAUGCUGUAAACGGUGGGCGUUAGGUGUGGGGACCGGUUUGGUUUCUGUGCCGUAGCUAACGCAUUAAGCGCCCCGCCUGGGGAGUACGGCCGCAAGGCUAAAACUCAAAGGAAUUGACGGGGGCCCGCACAAGCGGCGGAGCAUGUGGAUUAAUUCGAUGCAACGCGAAGAACCUUACCUGGGUUUGACAUGCACCAGACGGUUGUAGAGAUACGUACCUCCCUUUGUGGUUGGUGUGCAGGUGGUGCAUGGUUGUCGUCAGCUCGUGUCGUGAGAUGUUGGGUUAAGUCCCGCAACGAGCGCAACCCUUGUCUCAUGUUGCCAGCACGUUUAGGGUGGGGACUCAUGAGAGACUGCCGGGGUUAACUCGGAGGAAGGUGGGGAUGACGUCAAAUCAUCAUGCCCUUUAUGCCCAGGGCUUCACACAUGCUACAAUGGUUAGUACAACGCGCUGCGAACCUGUGAGGGUGAGCGAAUCGCUGAAAGCUAAUCUCAGUUCGGAUUGGGGUCUGCAACUCGACCCCAUGAAGUCGGAGUCGCUAGUAAUCGCAGAUCAGCAAUGCUGCGGUGAAUACGUUCCCGGGCCUUGUACACAC
rnacentral:rRNA from 1 species